CCUACGGGUGGCAGCAGUGGGGAAUAUUGGACAAUGGGCGAAAGCCUGAUCCAGCCAUGCCGCGUGUGUGAAGAAGGCCUUCGGGUUGUAAAGCACUUUCAGUGGGGAAGAAAGUCUUGGGGCUAAUACCCUCGAGGAAGGACAUCACCCACAGAAGAAGCACCGGCUAACUCCGUGCCAGCAGCCGCGGUAAUACGGAGGGUGCGAGCGUUAAUCGGAAUUACUGGGCGUAAAGCGCGCGUAGGCGGUCUGAUAAGCCGGUUGUGAAAGCCCCGGGCUCAACCUGGGAACGGCAUCCGGAACUGUCAGGCUAGAGUGCAGGAGAGGAAGGUAGAAUUCCCGGUGUAGCGGUGAAAUGCGUAGAGAUCGGGAGGAAUACCAGUGGCGAAGGCGGCCUUCUGGACUGACACUGACGCUGAGGUGCGAAAGCGUGGGUAGCAAACAGGAUUAGAUACCCGUGUAGUC
rnacentral:rRNA from 1 species